CGGUAAUUCCAGCUCCAAUAGCGUAUACUAAAGUUGUUGCAGUUAAAAAGCUCGUAGUUGGAUUUCUGCGGGGACGGAGCGGCCGGACGCAACUUGCGUCUCGAGCUAGCGCUUUCCCCACAUCCUGCCGCGAACCGUGCUACCAUUAGCUUGGUGGCGCUGGGGAUCGGCUCGAUUACUUUGAGAAAAAUAGAGUGUUCAAAGCAGGCCACACGCCUUGAAUAAGUUAGCAUGGAAUAAUGACUAAGGACUUCGGUUCUAUUUUGUUGGUGUUCGGGACUGAAGUAAUGAUUGAUAGGGACAGUUGGGGCGGUCUGUAUUCCAAAGCGAGAGGUGAAAUUCUUAGACCUUCGGAAGACAAACAGCUGCGAAAGCGUUCCGCAAGGAUGUUCCCUUUGAUCAAGAACGAAAGUUGGGGGAUCGAAGACGAUCAGAUACCGUCGUAGUCCCAACUAUAAACUAUACCAGCUAGGGAUCGGCCAACGUUUAACUUUAUCGACUUGGUCGGCACCUUAUGAGAAAUCAAAGCAUCUGGGUUCCGGGGGGAGUAUGGUCGCAAGGCUGAAACUUAAAGGAAUUGACGGAAGGGCACCACCAGGCGUGGAGCCUGUGGCUUAAUUUGACUCAACACGGGAAAACUUACCAGGUCCAGACAUAGGAAGGAUUGACAGAUUGAUAGCUCUUUCUUGAUUCUGUGGGUGGUGGUGCAUGGCCGUUUUUAGUCGGUGAAGUGAUUUGUCUGCUUAAUUGCGUUAACGGACGAGACCCCAGCCUGCUAAAUAGCGCGGCCGAGCUUUGCUCGGUGCGAGCUUCUUAGAGGGACCAUGAUGCGCGAUAGCACAAGGAAGUUUGGGGCAACAACAGGUCUGUGAUGCCCUUAGAUGUUCUGGGCCGCACACGGGCUACACUGGCGCCUGCAACGAGCAUAUCAGCUGGCCCGAGAGGGUCUUGGCUAAUCUUUGGAACCGGCGCCGUGCUUGGGAUUGACCAUUGCAAUUGUUGGUCAUGCAACGAGGAAUGCCUUGUAAACGCGAGUCAUCAGCUCGCAUUGAAUACGUCCCUGCCCUUUGUACACACCGCCCGUCGCUCCUACCGAUGAAUGUUCCGAUGAAAUUUUCGGAGAGCGCCAGAGAACGGGGCUCUGCCUUGCAGAUCUGGAGGCUCAAAGUCACUUAAAUCUGAACAUUUCGAGGAAGGAGAAGUCGUAACAAGGUAGCCG
rnacentral:rRNA from 1 species